rnacentral:tRNA from 1 species
UCCCUGGAGGACUAGUGGUUAAGCCACAGCGGUCUGACCGCUGCGGCCCGGGCUCGAUUCCUGGCCAGGGAA